AUGGAACUUAAGCACAUUCUCUGUUUCAUCAUUUGCCCAGUUCCAUAGAUUGGUACAGUGUGAGUCAGUAUUUUGUAGUAACAACAGCUAACGUUCCCUAAGAGUAUGUGAUGUACUUAGACCUGGAUAAAAAAGCAUUUUGUGCAGUCUGAAAGACUGAAUGAACAGAAAGGCUAAUUCAGAAAGUUACUGUUGCCCUCCACAGCAUCAUACACUGGUCAGAGGGGCAGCAGAAGAAAUACAGCUCAGGGUAUAGAUAUUCCAGCCUUAUCUUCUACAACUGUGUAGAAGGCUGGAAUCUUGGUAGGCCUGCUUCCUGUCUGUUACCAAUCCUAUACUCAUGUCCUUUCACUUGAUGGAACUAAGUGACGGUUCAGACAAAGUCACACCGUUCAACGGACCUCAGGAGGGAAGUAAAGGAAGAGAGCAAGAAACUUGGAACUGAAAUUCUAUUGGAAGAAGUUGAAGAAACUCACAGGGCUACAGGGGGAACCUAUUGAAGAACCCCCUGCAAGUUUUCCCAGAAUCUUAUGAGAUGCCUGAAGAUGACCCAAAGCCACAGGGAGGACCCCAUCUGAAAGACAUAGCUCCCUCCUGUGUCUCUGUGCCCUUGGUACCCGAGAACAGAACACAGAUUCCCUAUGUGGUUCUCCAGCUAAGCACAUCAACUAGAUGAUAACAAAGACAACACAAGGUGAAACCAAACCAAACCAAUGUUUACCAAGUAAACAAAACUGGAAAAAAUGUAAUGAAUUUUAGGAGAUGCUAUAUGUAGUGAUUGUAAUUGAAAUGGAAACUAUAAAAUGUAAGUUGUAUUGUCCUGUAACUCGGAUGGGACACUGUCUCUGAAGGCAUUAAUCAACUCUUCAAAGUCUAGCAUGGUGCUAUCUUACUGUCAGUAUCCACAAUAUCUCAAGAACAUUAAUUUAUGCCAUUUCAUGUAAACCAUUUUCAGGGAAUCUCAGUAGUGAUGUCAGGGUGUCUGAUUUAAACAGAAAAAAAUCUGAGGCUUCUUCCAUUUACCUAGUGUUCAAUCCACACACUGAGAGUGACAGAGUCUGUGGUCAUGAUGGACAGACCUGCCAAGAGACUCUAGCUUCCACUUCUCUCAUUCCCCAUCGCUGAUUACUGGAUACUCCAAUUUUGAGAAAUGUUCAGAAGCCAAAGUUUCUAAUCUGCCUCUACUAAAGACUUUUCUUAUACAGUUCAGAAGAUUUUCCCUCUGGAAGUGUCUGUCCACUAAGAGACAUUUAAGUCAACACUUGUAGUAAGGUCACAGGGACAUGUCCACACAAUCAGACAAUGCCACAUGUGAAUUCCUUGGCUAUGAGAUGAUGUAGCAGUAAGGAACACUGCACACACACACACACACACACACAUACACACACACUCAAACACACACACACACAGAGAGAGAGAGAGAAAGAGAGAGAGAGAGAGAGAGUCAGAUAUUGAAAUGAAUAGUGCAGUGCAGAGCUGAAUAAAAUAUACAUGUCUGACAGUCCAUUCAGAACCUGUUGUUGGGAUCAUGUGAUCCUAGUUCUACUAUCUACAGUAAAAUCAAGAAAAUCAUGAGCACACUUAAAACUUUGUUUAAACGGGAGGUUUUUUGUUUUUGUUUUAGAGAAUAUCCUUCUGUAUAUACAUACAUUUGAAGAUACUGUUUAAUUUUAGAUAAAUGUAAAAUUAUAAGAUUCUUUGAGGUCUUAUUGAUG
rnacentral:lncRNA from 1 species